rnacentral:tRNA from 1 species
GCCACCUUAGCUCAGUUGGUAGAGCAGAUUCUUCGUAAGAAUAAGGUCCCCGGUUCGAAUCCGGGAGGUGGCUCCA